rnacentral:rRNA from 1 species
GACGAACGCUGGCGGCGUGCUUAACACAUGCAAGUCGAACGGAAAGGCCCUGCUUUUGUGGGGUGCUCGAGUGGCGAACGGGUGAGUAACACGUGAGUAACCUGCCCUUGACUUUGGGAUAACUUCAGGAAACUGGGGCUAAUACCGGAUAGGAGCUCCUGCUGCAUGGUGGGGGUUGGAAAGUUUCGGCGGUUGGGGAUGGACUCGCGGCUUAUCAGCUUGUUGGUGGGGUAGUGGCUUACCAAGGCUUUGACGGGUAGCCGGCCUGAGAGGGUGACCGGCGACAUUGGGACUGAGAUACGGACCAGACUGCUACGGGAGGCAGCAGGGGGGAAUAUUGCACAAUGGGCGGAAGCCUGAUGCAGCAACGCCGCGUGCGUGAUGACGGCCUUCGGGUUGUAAACCGCUUUCGCCUGUGACGAAGCGUGAGUGACGGUAAUGGGUAAAGAAGCACCGGCUAACUACGUG